UACGUAGGGUGCGAGCGUUAAUCGGAAUUACUGGGCGUAAAGCGCACGUAGGCGGAUUUGUUAGUCAGGGGUGAAAUCCCCGGGCUCAACCCGGGAACUGCGUCCGAUACUGGUUGGCUUGAAUCCGGGAGAGGGAUGCGGAAUUCCAGGUGUAGCGGUGAAAUGCGUAGAUAUCUGGAGGAACACCGGUGGCGAAGGCGGCAUCCUGGACCGGCAUUGACGCUGAGGCGCGAAAGCCAGGGGAGCAAACGGG
rnacentral:rRNA from 1 species